UUUUCUUCUUCUUUUUUUGUUUUUAAUUUCAUUCUUCAUUUUUAAAAAAUGUCAGCAACAACAACAAAAAC
rnacentral:ribozyme from 14 species